UCAAUUUCUACAUCUUGCAAAUUAGGCGAUGAUUCAGAAACAUGUGUUAUUGGGUCAUUACUAUUACUACCAGAAGCUACAGGACUACCUCUUUUUUUUUACUUCCACCCUUACCAGUAACUUUUCUACACGCUCUUUUAGCAGUAUUCAACAUAUUGUAAAAAUUAAUAUAUUAGCUAAAAUCAAAUAUGCAAUUAAAAUAUUAAAU
rnacentral:lncRNA from 1 species